rnacentral:rRNA from 1 species
UACGUAGGUGGCAAGCGUUGUCCGGAAUUAUUGGGCGUAAAGCGCGCGCAGGCGGUCCUUUAAGUCUGAUGUGAAAGCCCACGGCUCAACCGUGGAGGGUCAUUGGAAACUGGGGGACUUGAGUGCAGAAGAGGAGAGUGGAAUUCCACGUGUAGCGGUGAAAUGCGUAGAGAUGUGGAGGAACACCAGUGGCGAAGGCGACUCUCUGGUCUGUAACUGACGCUGAGGCGCGAAAGCGUGGGGAGUAAACAGG